rnacentral:rRNA from 1 species
UACGGGGGGAGCAAGCGUUGUUCGGAUUUACUGGGCGUAAAGGGCGCGUAGGCGGCCACCGCAAGUCGGUUGUGAAAUCUCUGGGCUUAACCCAGAAAGGUCAACCGAUACUGCGGGGCUAGAGUGCAGAAGGGGCAACUGGAAUUCUCGGUGUAGCGGUGAAAUGCGUAGAUAUCAGGAGGAACACCGGUGGUGUAGACGGCUCUCUGGACAGUCACUGACGCUGAGACACGAAAGCGUGGGGAGCAAACAGG